UACGGAGGUCGCGAGCGUUGUUCGGAAUCACUGGGCGUAAAGGGUGCGUAGGCGGCGCGGAAAGUCAGAUGUGAAAGGUGGGAGCUUAACUCAGAGACUGCAUCUGAUACUGCCGUGCUUGAGAAUUGGAGGGGCAACCGGAAUUCACGGUGUAGCAGUGAAAUGCGUAGAGAUCGUGAGGAAGGCCGGUGGCGAAGGCGGGUUGCUGGGCAGUUUCUGACGAUGAGGCACGAAGGCCGGGGGAGCGAAAGGG
rnacentral:rRNA from 1 species